GUCUCAUCAGCCCCCGCCAGGUUGGGUUGUAUGGCGGCCCCUCUGCGGGGCUGAAUUGUGCGGCUGGCCGCGCAGCUUCUGUUAAAGGAGGAUUGGAGGAGUUGGGAGUUUAUCCCAUUCACAGGAGGAGACGGCGCUGGCCUUUCUACCCCGCCGGCGAAACAUGAGCUGCGGCCAGCAGCAGCAGCCGCUGCCGCCGCCGCGGAAGAUCACCAACGUGGGUCCCUGCAACUCUUCCCGCAGGAGAACGAGUCCCUCUUCACCUUCCUCGGCAAGAAAUGUGUGAUUAUGAGACUGCUCACGGUUUGCCUCAACGAAGAUCACAGACUAUCAGUUGGAGGAAAUACAAGAGCUCACUCAUUGCUUCCAUAAGAACACAGCUAAUCUCUGCACUGAGAUCAUCGCUGGUCAAAAUCUACUCACAGAGAGCAUCUCAGAGCAGAAACUAAAUCACCUAAGUAGUCUGUGCAUUUUAGACACAAAUGCAAGGUAACUGUGAACAUGAUUGUCUAAGAAAGUGAUGUUGAGUAGGCUUAUCCCUAACAUUUUCCCCCCAAAUUGUAGGUCACAAACUAUCAGUGGAAUUGAUUUAAUUGGUUGGAAUGAGCAUUUAAAGAAAAUAAGUGAAAUAGACAAUAAUAGAGUGGAAUAUAAUAAGAUAGAAUACAAUGAGGCAGAAUAGGAAACACAAAAAGUACUACACCCCCGUACAGUAAGCAUGAGUAUGAAUUUACAAACCUUUUCUGUAUAUAUUAUACAUGCGUGCACUGGGUCACAGUGUAAGAUGUAUUUUUUACUGUGCAAUAGGUCAAACCACUUUGAUACUCAAAAGCUUUCAGCCUGACACAUGUGUGUACUGCAUCCUCACUGCAGCUGUUUUCUAAUUAUGUGGCCUUGGGUAAGUUAUUAAUUCUCUUUAACCUCUUCAGCAACCACAACAGAAUUCAGAGCUGUCUCAGGGGUCCUUCAUGUCUGUAAAUGAAUAAACUACUGGACUAAGCAACUUCGUUUUCUAUGUGAGGACCAGCAGGCCUGGAAUCUGGCUUCUCAACUUGGGAGCAAUGUGACUUUGCCCAAACUAUUUAACUUCACUACACUUUAGUUUUUCUUGUCUUUAAUUUUUUUUUUUUUCCCAACCAAAAAAAUGUGGGUAUUAAUAGCAGCACUCUUACAGGUCUGUCGUGAAAUUUUCAUUAGGUAAAGUGCACUGACCACUUAACACAAAGCCCAUGAAUAGUUCAGAGCAUGCUACCCCCAAAGGUGCCACUUUCCCAUAUUAUUGUGAUUAUUUUGAGCUGAAGGUGAUGCAGCAACAGCAAAUACAGACAGUCUCUCUAACUUCCCCCUUUCUCCCUGAAGAUUUCCCAUGUGAAAUAUGUACUCUGUACCAGGAAGCGGGGAACAUCUUACCACCAAAGGAAGGUAGUUGAUGCCAAAAUGGAUCUGCACAAACCUAUGAAAAUGACCCUUAUCUUCCAGUAGUUUCCCUCAGAUAUUUCCUAGUCACAAUGUACUGUUCAUCAAAGCUCUUUCUCUUUGUCUUGUCACUCCUUCAUAAUUUAUCAUUCUCUGUUGAAAAGAUCUGUAAACUCUUGAUCCUAACUUCUUUGGGUCUCCAUUUUUGCUAUGGAAGCUUCCAUGUGCAUGUAAAAAUGUUCAAUAAAGUUUGUAUGCUUUU